UUCUUUAUAGUUCCAUUUUUGGAUUUUCCCCUUUUCCAUUGUAGGUGAUAAGGAGGGCAUCAUAAGUUUUUCAUGUGAAGGGUAUGAGAAAUGGUACUUGGCAUAGAAAUGCAAUUAAUGGUAGUUCUAUCUGAAUGUUUUUUGUUAAUUAUUAAGCAUAAAAAAUGAA
rnacentral:ribozyme from 1 species